CCGGAACGACAGGGUGGGGGUCGUCGACGGCACGUGUCGCGUCUGGAUGUGGAUGCGUGGAACAUACUGCUCGAAUGGCUCUCCGGUGACCCUUAUCGGCGAGUCUCUGGGGAUGGGGAUCUCUUGCUCCUCCUAGGAUGCAAAUGAAAUGGCACUAGAAUCGGAGACGACUGCGACCGGUGUAGAGGGAUAGAGGAAAUGAGACCAGACCAGUGGAAGGAGGAUGCGGAUGAGGAAAAGGAAAAUAUACCACUAAAAUCGACAUGAUCGGCAGCGGCUAUGCAGUCCUUUUUGUUGCACCUUAAAGAACAGUGCAUGCUAGUCACACGCCAACAUGCCAUUUCACACGUCAAUGCAAAGACGAUGUGCUUUGCACAAAUAUAGAAAAAAAAGGAAGAAAUAUACACAUGCACAUCACAGAGAACAGGACACAUGCCAUGAUAGCAAUAUAAUAUCUAUAAAUGAGAAGAGUUAUCUUUCUAAAUACCUGUGUGUGUGUGUGUUUGUGUGUGUGUGUGCGUGCGUUCUGUGUGCGUGGAUGCGUGUUG
ensembl:lncRNA